rnacentral:tRNA from 1 species
GGAGAUGUACUCAAGCGGUCAAGAGGGCGUCUUGGAAAGGCGUUAGGCGGUCAUACGUGCGUGGGUUCGAAUCCCACCAUCUCCA